CAGUAGCCGCGGUAAUACGUAGGUGGCAAGCGUUGUCCGGAAUUAUUGGGCGUAAAGGGCUCGCAGGCGGUUUCUUAAGUCUGAUGUGAAAGCCCCCGGCUCAACCGGGGAGGGUCAUUGGAAACUGGGAAUCUUGAGUGCAGAAGAGGAGAGUGGAAUUCCACGUGUAGCGGUGAAAUGCGUAGAGAUGUGGAGGAACACCAGUGGCGAAGGCGACUCUCUGGUCUGUAACUGACGCUGAGGAGCGAAAGCGUGGGGAGCGAACAGGAUUAGAUACCCCAGUAGUCCCUGUCUCUUAUAA
rnacentral:rRNA from 1 species